rnacentral:rRNA from 1 species
UUGGUGUGAAUUGCAGAAUCCCGUGAACCAUCGAGUUUUUGAACGCAAGUUGCGCCCGAAGCUUCGGCCAGGGCACGUCUGCCUGGGCGUCACAC